UGAGGAAUAUUGGUCAAUGGGCGCAAGCCUGAACCAGCCAUGCCGCGUGCAGGAUGACGGUCCUAUGGAUUGUAAACUGCUUUUGUACGGGAAGAAACCCUCCUACGUGUAGGAGCUUGACGGUACCGUAAGAAUAAGGAUCGGCUAACUCCGUG
rnacentral:rRNA from 1 species